rnacentral:lncRNA from 1 species
AAAAAAAAAAAAAAAAAAAAAAGGACAGGAAUGACCUUGAACUCACUAUAAUCCUCCUGCCUCAGUUUCUCAACUGCUGGGAUUACAGAAGUACAGAAGUGCACCACCACAAUAAUCAUUUUUUUUUUCCUUUUUCUGGAGACAAGGACUGUAGAUGACCCUGAACUUCUGAUUCCUUACUUCCAGCUCCCCAGUACUUAGCACACGCAGGGGAUCCCAGGGCUGUGUGCAUGCCCGCUGUGUGCAAACGCUCUACCCACUGAUCACAUUGCUAGCCCUCCUGUAGCCAUUUGUCACUUUGCAGCUGAGGAAUAAUUGGGGACGAAUGGACAGGCUGACAGAAGGCAGAGGACUGAAUGGCCUCAGUCCUAGGCCUGGACAGCUGACCAGGUCAGGAAGGAAGCCGGAAGCCCGAGCAACCAUGUGUCCAGGUCCAGCUCUGGCCUCUGCCUGCCCACACAUCCUCAGGGCUGAGCUGGUCACUGGGGCUGAUUGAAAAGGCAAGAUGAUCCUGGGAAGCCUUUAAAGUGUGGGAAGCAAGCAGAUGACAUAGCUCCACUCGGUGCUGUCCUGGAUGGCCCCUUAGUUGUCAGCUUCUAACCCUGGCCUCCCGAAUGCUCCCUGAAAGCACCAAACACAUUCCAGCCCCAGGGCCUUUGCACUUGCUGUUUUUGUUGGCUGGAAGCUUUUCCUGUCCCUCGGGUGUCUACAGGGCUCCCUCCUCCUCCCCACUCCCUUCAGGAUUCUGCUCAAUGGUCGACUUGAGCCCCUUUCACUCACCAUGAGAGGCACCUGCCCCUCCUCCUUCAAUUCUCACCACUCUGUACGAGGUCAGAGGUGGUUUCCGGUCUGGACGUGAAGAGGCAGUGAUUGUCUCCGAUGAGGGCAAGUCCUGGGCAGAGCCUGACCACUGUGCAUUCUCAGAACCAUCCAGGCAGACUAAUGAGAAGCUAGAGAAGCUGGAAGCAAAUGAACGGACUAGGAAGGUUACACUUUAAAAGCCAGGUGAUGAGGACACAGGACACGGCUCUGCGACAACAGUAAGCCAGCCCCUUCAGGAUGGUCCAGAGACUACAGGUGGAAAGGGACUGAGGCUUUCAAUGACCGGGGAGUCCAGAUGGUUUGAGAAAACCAUCACCUGCUUCAGAUCCAGAACCUUCAGCUGCAGCUGGGUAUGGAAUUUCUAAGUGGUCAAAUUCUGGGUCUGACUCAAACAUGCAUUGAUUGACCAGUGGGCAAGCCAAGUGUGGUUUAUCUGUAAGAUGACACAUUCAUCGAUUAAAAACAGCUGAGCUACUCGCACAUGGAAAGAAGCGCUCAUUCGCCCGGAGCGCCUGGCCAUCACCGAGGGAGUGAGCAGCACCUGGCCGCAGGGUUAGUGCAUGAGGCACAUCUGGAGGUGAAACGCUUCCUAGUCACCCUCCAUGGCGCUGCGCUGGCUCAGCGGCUGUGUACCCAGCACCACACGGAGUCGAUGACAUUCCCCAUGGCCACCAGAUGACUAGGGACUCUGGUGUCAUGUGGCUGUGAGUGACAAGAGAAACACAAGCUGGCUCAGCCAGGGCCACCAGGCAAUGCUCUGGAGAAGAUGGGACACAGCUCAAAACAAGCCGAAUGGCUCUAUUUGGAACUCGUUCAUCCCUGUUGAUGUCCAUCAUGUCUGCUCACCUCACGCCAUCAUUUGUCCCCUAGUCUGCACAAGUCCUCCCCCACCCCUAUCCUGGCCACACCUAGCACACACAGAUGGCUUUGCUGCAGGGCCUUUGUACUUGCUAUUGUGUGCUAGGCCCAUGUCCUCUGAACUGGCUCCUUCUUGCUCUUUGUAUCUCUGUUCAAGGAACUCCUCCUAGCUUCCCUGUCCCAAGGGAUCUUUAUGUUCCCUGUUGUUAUCCCCUCCCCCCCCUAAGACUUUUCACCCAAAAUUACCUUUGACCUGUGUCUAUUUUCUGCCCUCCUGUCCCAUGAGAUUGUCAGUUUCCAGAGAGCCAGGCCGCCAGGCUGCCUCCUUACCAAUACCUAGUACCCUGCACACAGUAGGUGCUCAUCUGUGUACAGUCAG